UGUUUUCACAGACUGGAUCGGCCA
rnacentral:piRNA from 1 species